UCCAGCGUGAGCUGGAAUCUGAAGAAAGGAUUAGGCAAAACUCUGGCUUGUUACAUCUGAGGCUAGUUACAUGGACUAGGUUGCGAGACAAACCAAAAUCCAAUAACUGUACAGAAAUGUGUCUUGUAUUUAUGAAAUGAGUAUAAGAGGGAAAGAACGUGUG
rfam:Pseudobacteroides cellulosolvens ATCC 35603 = DSM 2933 ctg1, whole genome shotgun sequence.